rnacentral:rRNA from 1 species
GCUUGUCUCAAAGAUUAAGCCAUGCAUGUCUAAGUUUAAAUAGAAAACAGUGAAACUGCGAAUGGCUCAUUAAAUAAUUUUGCAUAUACAAGAUAGUCAACUCUACUUGGAUAACCGUAGUAAUUCUAGAGCUAAUACAUGCGAAAAAUCUCGACUCACGGAGAGAUGCUUUUAUUAGAUCAAAACCAAACGGCUUCGGCCGUCUCAUUGGUGACUCUGAAUAACUUUGGGCUGAUCGUAUGGCCUUGUGCCGACGACGUUUCCUUCGAAGGUGUGCCCUAUCAACUGUCGACUGUGAUAUAGACGCUCACAGUGGUUUUGACGGGUAACGGGGAAUCAGGGUUCGAUUCCGGAGAGGGAGCCUUAAAAACGGCUACCACAUCCAAGGAAGGCAGCAGG